rnacentral:lncRNA from 1 species
GUUUUUAACGAGGCCAUAGAUUUGCUUCUCAAAUCUCUUAGUUGGUGAUCUCGAUCCAACCUUAUCCCGGAUCAACCUUAUGUUAUAAUAAGUAUUUCAUUUCAUGUUUUAUUUUCAAACUGUCAUUUGUUUCUAUUUCCAAGAGAGCCGUGUGCCUUUACUCUCUUGCUAGUUUUCGAGAAGCUUGGAGCCUGUUCCAACUUCUCCUAUAUAAGUGUACUUUGAAACCCUUCAUAGAAAUCAAUUAUCUUUUAUCAAAAAAAAAACCUUUCUUUGUUCUCUCUACUACUUGUUCGCGAGUUGUUGAGUGUUCUUGUUGGUGUGUAGUAUCCAACAACCCAAGAGUGUCUAUCUCGGUGUGUCAUAACCGAUCUAGUCACUUAGGAGUAUCAAGGAGCCUUUCUGCAGCCUCUUGUGUCACCAAUCGAUCCACAACCUUGUAGAACUUGAGUCUUUGAUUCGUUCUAGCAAGGAUCUAUCCCAUACUAUCCAGAGAAGCAAUCUAGGGACGUAUUAGAAUAGUUCUCACCAUACACAGUGAAAAGACUCCAAUCCACGUCUUCACCGUCGAUUACCAUCACAAAACGUUCACUCUGUUUCUAUGAUAAAAACAUAAUCAUUCAUAUACGCUGGCCUCACACUUACUCUUGUUGAUCUCUUUAACUGAGGAUGUGACCAUUCUUAUUCUUUAUCACCAUCAUCAUUACUCUCAACAACCUCGUCGUCGUCAUUCUUUUCUUCCUCUCUGUCUAAUUCCUAUUGAUUCAUCAUGUUCUCAUCCCUAAAAUCAUCACUUCCGAACAAACUCAAU